CAGUGAGCCAUGGUGUAAAAUCUGCCUACCAUUCAAUGGUCCUCAUGAUCACACAGAUAGUCAAUCUGAGCCGUCUGAUUCACCACCGCAAUCGUGGACUUCUCGGUCCACCACUUGCCACCAAGAUUAAGGAAAUCGGGGUCCGCUUGACGGGCAGAACAAUUCAUUUAAACCGUAGGAUUACAACGAUCAAUCUCCAGAUCGCAGUCUGACCUAAACUCUAAUGCGCUAAAUUAUUCCCCCCAUCCCUCCUCCCUGUUUCGUUGAGACUGAUUCAUUUCAGAAUUCUGAAUUCACACUCCUCUUUCCUCUCUCUCCUUCCUGGAUAGACGAGAUUGCUAUUCAAAGGAGAGAAUAAGGCAUGGCGAGUCAACUCGGAGAUAGCUCGACUCCGAGUCUUGCACGAGUCUGAAGCUGAUCAUCGAGGCCGUAAAUUGCAGUAUAAGGGUUUUGGAUCUGGGAUUAUUCAAUUUGCAAUGGGUGAUGAGACUUCUGACACUAUGAAUCUUGAUUUGAAUUUGGGGCCUGGUCCUGAGGCACGGUCAGUAUCUGUACCAAGUGAAUCAGUGAAUUUGGAAGAGUGGAUUGAUGACCCUUUGGAGAGAAUUAGGGAGGCUGUUAGAAUUAAUAGGGCUCAACAGCGCUGGAGAUGGCGUCAGCUUCAAAUUCCUCGUGAAACGCAUCCCCUUUCUGUAGAAUUGAACCAAUUACUAGGAAAUUCUGACAGUGUGAGCACUUUACAAGCUGGUGAGGGUAGUGUUACUGCUGAAGAAAGAAUAAAUGAGGUGCCUAAAACCUGUGAAAAUAACAAUGGAUUUUUGGAAGAUGAAGUGUCAGAGAAAAAGGAUGAUGUUGAGAAUGGAAGUGAUAGUGAUGGGAGCUUCUUUGAUUGUAAUAUUUGUCUGGAUUUGGCUACUGAUCCAGUUGUUACUUGUUGUGGUCAUUUGUUCUGUUGGCCAUGCCUGUACAGAUGGCUACAUGUGCAUUCAGAUGCAAAUGAAUGUCCAGUUUGCAAGGGAGAGGUAACUGUUAAGAAUGUGACCCCUAUUUAUGGCCGUGGGAAUAAUACCCGUGAGCCAGAGGAAGAUUCAAGUCUUGAAAUCCCUGUUAGGCCACGUGCAAGGCGGGUUGAGAGUUGGAGGCAAUCUAUUCAAAGGAAUUCUUUUAGUUUCCCAAUGGAGGAAAUGAUUCGACGUCUUGGAAGCAGAUUUGAUUUGACUAGGGAUUUGAAUCCAGUGCAGGAUUCAAAUGGCAGUCGUGAAAUUGGAGAUAGGACUUCCUUUCUGAGCAGGAUUAUGACACUUAGAGGAAUGCGCACUGAGCAAAGUCCAAUUGCACCUAUUGAUGACAUAGUGGAUUUAACACAGAGUGGCACAAGUAGCCCUGAUGCAAGGUCAGCCCGCCGGCUUCAUUCGCUGUUACUUCGAAGAUCACAAUCACACUCUCAAAGAUUGUCAGCGCACACUUCAAAUUCUUCUGCUUUGAAUUCUAAUGAAAGGUUAAUUGAGGCAUUUUUGCCUAACCAUCCUUUAGGAAGGAAUCAGGAGCAGCCACAACCGGUUGAUGAUACAGAUUCAUUCUCAAGCAUUGCAGCAGUUAUAAACUCGGAAUCUCAAAUUGACACUGCAGCGGAAAUUGAUUCCAUGGGCUCCCUUUCAACUUCUUCAAGAAGAAGAAAUGAUACUGCAAGAGUCUCAGAUGUGGACACUGGCGACUCUCGUGCACCUAGAAGGAGACGAUUCAACUAGGAAGAGAUCGUCUAGUUAUGAUUAUGUCUUGGAACUUGCUCAAGGUAUGUCAACACAUAUGUAAGUGCUGCCUGCAUUUAUAGUUCUUUCACUUUACAAAGUUUUCACCUCCUGCCAAUGUUGUUGAUUUUCAUGAGGUGGUUGUAUAACUUCCGGCCCUUAUCUACUGCCAAUGUGUUUUGAGAUAUACUGCAUUAAGGGGCAUGUACUCUGAAUUUGUAUGGAGAGUUAAAUUUAUAGAACAAGUAGGCAAUUACCUUCCUCUGUACAUAAAACUUUCAAACUUCAUAGUUUUGGGAAAAUUGCUAAAUUCUUGCGAACUUAUCUCCUAAUAUCAUGCAAAAUUGAGCAAAUUUAUUCUCUGGGCUGAAGGUUCUAGUUAGUUACUAUUUUUUAUCUUAAAGUUCAAAUAAUAAUAUGCGCCAAAAGUGAUACAUAACUUUAAUAAAUUCUUUCUAUUACUUGACGAAAGUCAUGAAGUACGAAAUCUUUUACUGCUUGUAGUGUUACAAAGCCGUGGAGUCGAGCUUUAAACUUUAUUCAGAAACAGUAGUGUUACAGUUCUUUCACUACUGCUCUCCGCUCGUAUUCCACUUUUUACAUAGUGAGAGACUAUUUCAUCUUUGUCCUGUUUAUAUUCAAAGAAACUUUUUUUUAAAAAUAAUAAUUUAUUUAGUUGAUAAUUACCCAUGAGAAGUGGUGUUUCAUGGUUGUUUGUAAUUUCAGGAAAAAAAAUUAGGAAACAAUAAUAUUAAGAAAUUUAAAGAUCUAGAUGCCCACUAUAUCAGACAUCUAGCAGUUAUCAGGGAAUGUCCGUUGCUUCUACUGAUUGGUUGCAAGGUAGCUUUUGUGGUCCUCUUCUUUUAAGUGAUAAUUUUUUUUUUUGUUUCCUUUUUCUUUUUUAAUUAUGGAGCUAGAAUAUUAACUUUUUUUUUUAUGACUUUCAGACUGCAGUUUUCAAAACUCUUUACCGAUUUUUUCUAUUCUCUCCUUGAUAUUUAGAAAAGAAUUACACAUGAUGCAAUGUAUGCACCCAGUUUGUUUUGGGCCAAGUUUUUAUCAAGCAUCAGUUUAUUUUAUAUCUACGAGUCUGCUAGCAGUUUUUAGCUUUGUUCUGUAGAAGACACUUGCUCUUGUGUAAAGACUUGAUUCCGUAUUGCUGAAUGGUCUUAGUGUUUUACUACUAAAUUCACUGUUGAAGUGUGUUGUAUGUUUGUGGUAGUAUGGGGACAUUGAACUUACCUGUCUAUUAUACAUAUAUAUAUAUAUAUCCUUGUGAAAGUUGAGCAAGAUGGGUGUGGUUGAAAU
rnacentral:misc_RNA from 1 species